rnacentral:lncRNA from 1 species
AGGCUGAAGAACUUAAUGGAGAAAUUAAUAAGAUUAAAAAUGAAUUAUCAUCCCUUAAAGAAACUCAUAUUAAGUUACAAGAACAUUAUAACAAAUUAUGCAAUCAAAAAACAUUUGAGGAAGACAAAAAGUUUCAGGUGAAAACAAAGCCUCUGAUAUCAACUCCACUACAAAGCCAUUUGCAGGCAAUCAAGACGACUAAAAAUACUUCUGGUGAUGAUGACUGGCAGAGCCUCAUUACGAAUCAACUAAAUAAAAGUGAAAAUUUACUAAGUUUAGAAAAUGACAACCAGCCAAAGAAAAGAAAAGCAGAAGAGACGUUGGAAAAAAACAACAGAUUAAAAUAAUGUAGAUAAGUGCUUUCAGUAGUGAAAUUAUGUAACUGAAAUUCUGGUAUAGUUUUUACUAGAAUAAAAUGACUGUUGUAUUUAAA